AAGACUAUACUUUCAGGGAUCAUUUCUAUAGUUUGUAACUAGAGAAGUGUAGUUGAAAGUGUCUGACCUCGCUAACCACGAGGAGGAGUUAAAGUGUUCUCUUCUGAGCGCGAAGCGAGCAGACAGUGUUGCUUUAAUGCAGCUGCUGUCUGUUAUUGAUGACCGUUCCUUCUUCC
ensembl:snoRNA U3 Small nucleolar RNA U3